CUACGGGGUGCUGCAGUGGGGAAUAUUGCACAAUGGGCGCAAGCCUGAUGCAGCCAUGCCGCGUGUAUGAAGAAGGCCUUCGGGUUGUAAAGUACUUUCAGCGGGGAGGAAGGGAGUAAAGUUAAUACCUUUGCUCAUUGACGUUACCCGCAGAAGAAGCACCGGCUAACUCCGUGCCAGCAGCCGCGGUAAUACGGGAGGGUGCAAGCGUUAAUCGGAAUUACUGGGCGUAAAGCGCACGCAGGCGGUUUGUUAAGUCAGAUGUGAAAUCCCCGGGCUCAAUCUGGGAACUGCAUCUGAUACUGGCAAGCUUGAGUCUCGUAGAGGGGGGUAGAAUUCCAGGUGUAGCGGUGAAAUGCGUAGAGAUCUGGAGGAAUACCGGUGGCGAAGGCGGCCCCCUGGACGAAGACUGACGCUCAGGUGCGAAAGCGUGGGGAGCAAACAGGAUUAGAUACCCGUGUAGUC
rnacentral:rRNA from 1 species